ensembl:lncRNA
CUUGGUUUCAUUGGAGCAGAAAAGUAUUCAAUGCAAUGACAUGCUUUAUCAACUUGGCCUUAAUAAACCAGAUGUUUUAUUGUAGCCAAGGACAAAUGUCUAAACAGUCUUCAAGAUUUACUGGGGUGUUUUGGUUACGUAAUUUCGAGUCGCUGGACAGAAAGGCAGUUUUUGUCUGCUUAGCCACUAAGUGUCACUGUUGUCUUGCUGUUUAAUUUAAUUUACUUUCUGAAAGAGUCUUUUUGAAGGCUCAACUGCUCUGUAAUUGCAUACUGUAAUAUCCCACAAGUGGAUGAAAUAUGCGGCUAAAAAAAGUGGUGCAACAAAGCACUCAUAGCAGUUUAAACCACUUUAAAUAGAAUCACUGAUGAAGAAAUUUGAAUUAAACUUUGAAAACUCCUAAAAUUUAGUAGAAAUUACAAAUUUAAAUGGACUAAAGUUAAAUGGAUAAAAUGACGAAAACAUAUUUACAGUGAUGUAGUUUCUACAAUACAUCGAGCAUUACUUGGAAUAACACACUUAUUGGUAUAAAGGAGGGUAAUGUUGUUAAACUCUCCAUGUUGGUGUCUCGUCUCUAUUUACAUGAACACUAAUGGUGCAGGAACAAACACUGGCUGUUUGAGUCAUGUCAAGGUUGGAAUCGUGACAAAUUCUCUCAUGGUUCACCUAAAUUACCAGCAGUACUGGCUAAGAAAGCUUAGCUACCAGGCUGUAAACAAGGCAGUAUUUUAGGUAAGUAGACUCAUCUUUGGUUGCCUGAUAGGAUGCACACCAAUCUCGUGUUUUUUAUGUAAUCCAUGACACAUCUUUGCCAUAAAACCUUGUUUGCUUAUAAUACCCUGGCCGAUGACAUGAGGCUACGAAUGUCUUUUUGACAUUUACAGAAUGAUAGUAGCCGUGGCAUCAUCGACAGGUUUCACGAUGUAACUGUGCUUGCUCUGGCCUGGCGUUCCUCUUUGUAUCCAGAGAGCUUUCCCAGUCGCUCUCCCACAGCCGAGGCUUGAUUGUUGGACUGCAGAUCCCCAAAGACCUCCACUGAGGGUCAGGAAUCUAGUGCUCUCUGUGUCAAAAAAUUCUGUUCCAUAUGGAAAAUGUGACAUGUACAGUAGCUGCAAUGCUCUUGUUAUAUAAUUGGAUUAAAUUGUUUAAAGAAUAUGCAUGCUUGAAGAAUAAAUUGACUGUUAAAGAUUGGCGGUUACUGGGU